AGUGAACGCUGGCGGUAUGCCUAACACAUGCAAGUCGAACGGCAGCACAGUAAGGGCUUGCUCCUACGGGUGGCGGGGGGCGGAAGGGUGAGGAAUACGUCGGAAUGUACGUGUUAGUGGGGGGUAACGUUGGGAAACUCACGCUAAUACCGCAUACGACCUACGGGUGAAAGCAGGGGCUUUUGGGGCCUGGCGCGAUUGAGUGAGACGAUGUCGGAUUAGCUAGUUGGUGGGGUAAAGGCCCACCAAGGCGACGAUCCGUAGCUGGUCUGAGAGGAUGAUCAGCCACACUGGAACUGAGACACGGUCCAGACUCCUACGGGAGGCAGCAGUGGGGAAUUUUGGACAAUGGGCGCAAGCCUGAUCCAGCCAUGCCGCGUGGAUGAUGAAGGCCUUCGGGUUGUAAAGUGCUUUUGUACGGAAAGAAAAGCCGUAGUUUAAUACAGGGCUGUCAUGACGGUACCCUAAGAAUAAGCACCGGCUAACUACGUG
rnacentral:rRNA from 1 species